AAAGAUUAAGCCAUGCAUGUCUAAGUACAGGCCGACCCAAGGCGAAACCGCAAAUGGCUCAUUAAAUCAGUCAUGAUUUAUUGGAUGUAGUACACAUUCCUUACUCGGAUAACUGUGGUAAUUCUAGAGCUAAUACGUGCAUUUGAGCUCCGACCCAGUUUUGCAUUUACUGUGAGACGGGGGAAGGGCGCAGUUAUUAGAUUCAAAACCGAGCAGGCUCUCGGGCCUGACUUUCGCUUUUUGAUGACUCUGAAUAACCCAGCCGAGCGCUGAGGCCUUUUAGUGCCGGCGCCGUAUCCUUCGAGUGUCUGACUUAUCAGCUGUCGAUUGUAGGUUAUACGCCUACAGUGGCUGUAACGGGUAACGGGGAAUCAGGGUUCGAUUCCGGAGAGGGAGCCUGAGAAACGGCUACCACAUCUAAGGAAGGCAGCAGGCACGCAAAUUACCCACUCCCGGCACGGGGAGGUAGUGACGAAAAAUAACGAUGCGGGACUCUUCCGAGGCCUCGCAAUCGGAAUGAGUUCACUCUAAAUACUUGGACGAGGAUCCAUUGGAGGGCAAGUCUGGUGCCAGCAGCCGCGGUAAUUCCAGCUCCAAUAGCGUAUAUUAAAGUUGCUGCGGUUAAAAAGCUCGUAGCUGGACUUUAGAUUCGGACCGGCGGCCCAUCCAAGGCGCGCCCUCGCGUCCCGUUUGCUGUUGGGCGGCGGCUCGCACCGGUACUAAGGCAACGUUUAUCGUCAUCGAUUCGUCGAGGUACGAGGACUUCUUAACCGUUAAAAGCCGGUUUGUCCCUCCUCCUAUAGUCCCUCUCUUCGGAGUGGGCAGGGGGAUCAAGGGGCUCUCAGGUGGUUUCGUUCUCUGCCUCAUCCAAGGCGGUCGAUGCUCGUGUUGCUUCCGGAGCGCGGCCAAUGUUCCGACGCGCGGGUAUUUGUCGGGUAAGCGCGCCCGGUGGUUUCACCGCCCGGCUCCGAAUUCUGUUUGAAAGCCGUCGGCUCUCACGGGGUGCUCUUUGCCGGGUGUCCCGCGUGGCCGACACGUUCACUUUGAAUAAAUUAGAGUGCUCAAAGCAGGCGUUAUUGAUAUGCCUGAAUGUCCAUGCAUGGAAUGAUGGAACAGGACCUCGGUUCCGUCCUUUUCUCUCGGUUUUCCCGAAUCCGAGGUAAUGAUUAACGGGAACGGACGGGGGCAUUAGUAUUGCGACGCUAGAGGUGAAAUUCUUGGACCGUCGCAAGACUAACUACUGCGAAAGCAUUUGCCAAGAACGCUUUCAUUAGUCAAGAACGAAAGUUAGAGGAUCGAAGGCGAUCAGAUACCGCCCUAGUUCUAACCUUAAACGAUGCUGACCGGCGAUCCGCUUAAGUCAUUCCCACGACUGAGCGGGCAGCCCCCGGGAAACCAAAGUCUUUGAGUUCCGGGGGAAGUAUGGUUGCAAAGCUGAAACUUAAAGGAAUUGACGGAAGGGCACCACCAGGAGUGGAGCCUGCGGCUUAAUUUGACUCAACACGGGAAACCUCACCAGGCCCGGACACCGGAAGGAUUGACAGAUUGAGAGCUCUUUCUCGAUUCGGUGGGUGGUGGUGCAUGGCCGUUCUUAGUUGGUGGAGCGAUCUGUCUGGUUAAUUCCGAUAACGAACGAGAUUCUACCCUGCUAACUAGUCGGCGGAUCGACUCCCGAGACUGGGCCUGCCCUGGGGCUCGUAUUUCUCGGCUCGGUGGUUUGAGGGGCGUGGGCGUGGUGGUAUCGUAGGGGGUAGCGUAGCCGCGGGCAACCGUUGGUGAAACUGCUCCCGAAGGCUGCUCGUCUCGUCCCUCUCCCUGGGUUGGGAGGGGUCCCGUCGGUGUAGGUCCCAGCGAGGGGCGUCCGUCGCAACAUCUUCUUAGAGGGAUCGGCGGUUUUGCAGCCGCACGAGAAAGAGCAAUAACAGGUCUGUGAUGCCCUUAGAUGUUCUGGGCCGCACGCGCGCUACAAUGAAGUGAUCAGCGUGCUUUCCCCCUCCGAAAGGAGCGGGUAACCCUCUGAAACCCCUUCCCGAUUGGGAUUGGGGAUUGCAAGUGUUUCCCAUGAACGAGGAAUUCCCAGUAAGCGCGAGUCAAGAGCUCGCGUUGAUUACGUCCCUGCCCUUUGUACACACCGCCCGUCGCUACUACCGAUUGAAUGAUUCAGUGAGGCCGUCGGACUGGCACCCUCGGUAGCCUCCGGUACGCGAUUCUCUGCGCCCAUACCAGGGCUGGAGACCCUCGCUUCCGAUGGCACCCCGGGUUUGACGGAAAGACCGCCGAACUUGAUCAUUUAGAGGAAGUAAAAGUCGUAACAAGGUUUCCGUAGGUGA
rnacentral:rRNA from 1 species